UACGGAGGGGGCUAGCGUUGUUCGGAAUUACUGGGCGUAAAGCGCACGUAGGCGGCUUUGUAAGUUAGAGGUGAAAGCCCGGGGCUCAACUCCGGAAUUGCCUUUAAGACUGCAUCGCUAGAAUUGUGGGAGAGGUAAGUGGAAUUCCGAGUGUAGAGGUGAAAUUCGUAGAUAUUCGGAAGAACACCAGUGGCGAAGGCGACUUACUGGACACAUAUUGACGCUGAGGUGCGAAAGCGUGGGGAGCAAACAGG
rnacentral:rRNA from 1 species